GGAGUUAGCCGGUGCUUCUUCUGCGAGUAACGUCACAGAUGUAAGGUAUUAACUUACACCCUUUCCUCCUCGCUGAAAGUGCUUUACAACCCGAAGGCCUUCUUCACACACGCGGCAUGGCUGCAUCAGGGUUUCCCCCAUUGUGCAAUAUUCCCCACUGCUGCCUCCCGUAGGAGUCUGGGCCGUGUCUCAGUCCCAGUGUGGCUGAUCAUCCUCUCAGACCAGCUAGGGAUCGUCGCCUAGGUGAGCCUUUACCUCACCUACUAGCUAAUCCCACCUGGGCUUAUCCAUCAGCGCAAGGCCCGAAGGUCCCCUGCUUUCCCCCGUAGGGCGUAUGCGGUAUUAGCAGUCGUUUCCAACUGUUAUCCCCCACAAAUGGGCAAAUUCCCAGGCAUUACUCACCCGUCCGCCGCUCGUCAUCUUCAAAAGCAAGCUUUUGAAAUGUUACCGCUCGACUUGCAUGUGUUAGGCCUGCCGCCAGCGUUCAAUCUGAGCCAGANCAACAACUNAUACGAGCGGCGCGCGACGACGC
rnacentral:rRNA from 1 species